UCCUAGCCUUUUAAUUGGAGGCCUGCAUGAAUGGCUUGACGAGCGCCCUGCUGUCUCUCUUCCCAUGAACUUUUAAAUUAACUUUCGCGUGCAAAGGCGCGAAUGGCUGAGUUAGACGAAAAGACCCUAUGCAUCUUUACUGAGAGAGAAGAAAGUUCUUUAGCUUGGUUUAGCUGGGGCAGCUGAGGAAAAGGCAAAAUUUCCUUAAUAUAAAUCAUACUGGUGGGUUUAGAUCCAGGCUCUUUAGCGGGCUUGACAAGUAGAAAAGUUACGCUAGGGAUAACAGCGUUAUCCUUCUGUGGAGGUCUUAUCUGCAGGAGGGAUUGCGACCUCGAUGUUGAAUUAGGGAUAUACCAGAAAGGCGCAGAAGCUUUUAUUGUGGGU
rnacentral:rRNA from 1 species